UGAGGAACAUGACUUUCGGUGGGGGAGUAGCCGGCCCAACGGCCGGGUAAUACCGCGUACGACCUUUUGGGGACAUCCCCGAUUGGUGAAAGCAGCAAUGCGCCGAAAGAGUGCCUCGCGGCCUAUCAGCUAGUUGGUGGGGUAAUGGCUCACCAAGGCGACGACGGGUAGCUGGUCUGAGAGGAUGGCCAGCCACAGUUGGGACUGAGACACGGCCCAGACUCCGUACGGGGAGCAGCAGGG
rnacentral:rRNA from 1 species